AUUGAACGCUGGCGGCAGGCCUAACACAUGCAAGUCGAACGAGUGGCGGACGGGUGAGUAAUGUCUGGGAAACUGCCCGAUGGAGGGGGAUAACUACUGGAAACGGUAGCUAAUACCGCAUACCAUCGGAUGUGCCCAGAUGGGAUGAGCUUGUAGGUGAGGUAACGGCUAACCUAGGCGACGAUCCCUAGCUGGUCUGAGAGGAUGACCAGCCACACUGGAACUUAGACACGGUCCAGCCUCCUACGGGAGGCAGCGUUGGGGAAGAUUGCAAAAUGGGCGCAAGCCCGAUUGAGCCAUGCCGCGUGUAGGAAGAAGGCCUUCGGGUUGUAAAUGACUUUCAGCGGGGAGGCGUUACCCGCAGAAGAAGCACCGGCUAACUCCGUGCCAGCAGCCGCGGUAAUAC
rnacentral:rRNA from 1 species